UACGUAGGAUGCUAGCGUUGUCCGGAUUUACUGGGCGUAAAGCGCGCGCAGGCGGCACUGUAAGUAAGGUGUGAAAUAUCCCUGCUCAACGGGGAGGGUGCACUUUAGACUGCAGAGCUAGAGGACGGUAGAGGGGGGUGGAAUUGCUGGUGUAGCGGUGAAAUGCGUAGAGAUCAGCAGGAACACCCGUGGCGAAGGCGGCCCCCUGGGCCGAACCUGACGCUGAGGCGCGAAAGCGUGGGGAGCGAACAGG
rnacentral:rRNA from 1 species